UACAGAGACUGCAAGCGUUAUUCGGAUUCACUGGGCGUAAAGGGUGCGCAGGCGGCCAUGUGUGUUAGGCGUGAAAGCCUGAGGCUUAACCUCAGAAUUGCACCUAAAACUACAUGGCUAGAGCAUUGGAGAGGGUAGCGGAAUUCACGGUGUAGCAGUGAAAUGCGUAGAUAUCUGGAGGAACACCGGUGGCGAAGGCGGCAUCCUGGACCGACAUUGACGCUGAGGCGCGAAAGCCAGGGGAGCAAACGGG
rnacentral:rRNA from 1 species